rfam:Salmo salar isolate Sally breed double haploid chromosome ssa12, whole genome shotgun sequence.
UCCCUUGUGGCUCAGUUAGUAGAACAUGGCGCUUGCAACGCCCGAGUUGUGGGUUCGAUUCCCAUGGGGAC